AUUGAACGCUGGCGGCAGGCCUAACACAUGCAAGUCGAACGGUAACAGGAAGAAGCUUGCUUCUUUGCUGACGAGUGGCGGACGGGUGAGUAAUGUCUGGGAAACUUCCUGAUGGAGGGGGAUAACUACUGGAAACGGUAGCUAAUACCGCAUAACGUCGCAAGACCAAAGAGGGGGACCUUCGGGCCUCUUGCCAUCGGAUGUGCCCAGAUGGGAUUAGCUAGUAGGUGGGGUAACGGCUCACCUAGGCGACGAUCCCUAGCUGGUCUGAGAGGAUGACCAGCCACACUGGAACUGAGACACGGUCCAGACUCCUACGGGAGGCAGCAGUGGGGAAUAUUGCACAAUGGGCGCAAGCCUGAUGCAGCCAUGCCGCGUGUAUGAAGAAGGCCUUCGGGUUGUAAAGUACUUUCAGCGGGGAGGAAGGGAGUAAAGUUAAUACCUUUGCUCAUUGACGUUACCCGCAGAAGAAGCACCGGCUAACUCCGUG
rnacentral:rRNA from 1 species